rnacentral:rRNA from 1 species
GUGGGGAAUCUUGCGCAAUGGGCGAAAGCCUGACGCAGCCAUGCCGCGUGAAUGAUGAAGGUCUUAGGAUUGUAAAAUUCUUUCACCGGGGACGAUAAUGACGGUACCCGGAGAAGAAGCCCCGGCUAACUUCGUGCCAGCAGCCGCGGUAAUACGAAGGGGGCUAGCGUUGCUCGGAAUUACUGGGCGUAAAGGGCGCGUAGGCGGACAGUUUCGUCAGAGGUGAAAGCCCAGGGCUCAACCUUGGAAUUGCCAUUGAUACUGGCUGUCUUGAGUACGGGAGAGGUGAGUGGAACUCGGGGUGUAGAGGUGAAAGUGGUAGAUAUUCGGAAGAACACCAGUGGCGAAGGCGACUCACUGGCCCGUUACUGACGCUGAGGCGCGAAAGCGUGGGGAGCAAACAGGAUUAGAAACCCUGGUAGUCC